UGGGGUCAGUGUGGAGCUACAGUGUCUGGAUCUCAGAGCUGUGUUCAGCCUGGACGCCUCCAUCCAUCCUCCAUCCAUUCAUCCUCCAUUCAUCAUCCAUCCAUCUCUGAGAGGAGCCGAGAGUUGUGGGAGGUGGGGUGGGGGGUCCGUGUUGGGUGUCUACCGUCCACCGCCCCGACACCCCGACUCCCCACAGCUCUAAUUGAUGCUUUGUCCGGGCACGUCCUGACUCGUUAGAGCCCUGAGCCCCCCAGGCCGGAACAAAUCCAACAUGGCAUCCGCACUCAGAUGCACUUCAUCCAUACGACUGUGUGAGGCUUUAACCUGAAGGCCGUCGUCACGCCGCUACGAGUCCAGGGCUUUCUGGUGUUGAUGAUACUGCAUCAGGAACUGAUUGGACAGUGACCAGAGGCCAUCAGUUCCUGAUGCACUGCCUUCAGCAUUAAAAGAGGCUCCACAUGUCAAGAGAUGGAGGAAACGGAGGCUGUGACCCCACCAGGAAAGUCUGGAUGAUGUCCGUCAGUCCGUCAGUGAAACCAGACACUGACUCCUCAUCUCAUCUCUAAAUGAGUUUAAUAACUUUUGGAUCAAAUCCACUCCCUGAGGAGUGUUAAUGCUCCUGUAGACACUGAUCAGCUGUUAGUGAAAGGAGCUCACAGACUCACACACUCAGAGACUCACUCAUAUGUAGAAAAAAUUUCAUUUCCCUGAAUAAAUAAAAGUGUAAUGUUUCUGUCCCA